CCUCUGUCGGAAUAAUACACUUGUUGGAAGGACACCAUUCCUUUCACGAACUCUCUCCCUUAUUAAACUAGCCAAUGUAGAACUUGGUACUAGUAGAAAAAAUGAAAUAGGCACCCCCCCUUUAGCACCGGUUCUUGAAAACCGGUGCCAAAUGAAAUGGGCGGGAUUAAACAAUUCGAUUUUGGCAUCCGUUUGCCUUAAACCGGUGCCAACUAUGGUAAUUAUGACCGGUUCAUACCGGUGCGAAUUAAAAAAGACAAAAAAAAAAAAAAAAAAAAAAAAAUAGAAAGGUAUGCGUUACUCUGCUUCUUCUUCCUUUGUUUCCCCUUGCUUUUCAUUUUCGGUUUUCCCUAACUCUCGUUUUCGCCCUUCUCUUAGCUUCAACCACCUCUGAAGUUCCACCUUUUUCCAUAUCUCUCCUCCGUUACGCGUGCUCGUAGUUCUCCAUUGAAGCGCAUUCUGAGCUUUGUCCAUAUCACUCCUCCACUACGCGUACUGUUAAUUCUCCAUUGAAGCGGAUUCGAGCUUUCUCACCUCCAUUGAAGCAGCUUCGAGGUAAGAAUGUGUUUUUGUCCUUUUUAGAUUAUCGAUUUCAGUUUUCGCAAUCUAGGGUUUGUUGUUGAUGUGAAAUUUGAAUUUAGGGUUAGUUCUUGUAAACUAGGGUCAACGAAAGGGGUGGAGGUUUCAGGUUGGGAAAAGGGAUGGGAGUUUAGGGUGGUUUCGGGUUGGGGAAUUCAAGUUUUGGGCGGUUUCGUUGGUGGGCCUGGGGCGGGAAGUCUAUUGCGCUCAUGUGGCUCUGGAAGGAGGGUGGUUUCGGUGGUGGUGCAGGGGGAGGGGGUGGCUGUCGGGGCUGGGCUGGGGAGUGGCUGUCGGGCUGGGUGGGGAACUGUUUAAUAAAAUUUUUUGAUUUUAGGGUUUUUGAAUUUUAAUUAGAUAAUUGAAUUUUUUUUAGUUUUUGGGGUUUCAUUGUUGUAUUGUUGAAGUUAAUAUAUUGAUUUUAAGGAUUUUGAAUUCAAAUCAAAUGAGUAAGUAAUUUAAUUUUUAGUUUGAAUUUAAAUUUUAUUAUUUGUAAUUUUAUGUAAUUGAGAUUGGAUGAAAUCAGUUUUUUAGUGGUAAUUCGAUGAAAUUAGGAUGAAAUCAGUUUUGGGAGUUGAUGCUCGAGUUGUUAUUGUUGGGGUAUUGUUUACUUGUUCUUGUUAGAAUUGGUGUUCGGAUGUUGUAUACUUGUUGUUUGAAUUGGUGUACGGGUGGGAAUGUUGUUUACUUGUUAUUCGAAUUGGUGUUCGGCUGUUGUUUACUUGUUCGAAUUGGUUUUGAGGUGUUGUUGGAUUGUUGUUGUUCGAAUUGUUGUUUGAUUUGGUCUUGGUAUUGUUGUUGUACUUGGAUUGAAUUGAAUUGUUUGAGUUGGAUUGAACUGAAUUGAAUUGUUUGAGUUGGAUUAAUUUGAUAAAAAUGGUACUACUUUUGGAUUGUAAUACUAAUCAUCGUUAAGCUGCAACUUUAUGGGUGUAUCGUGUACGUCAUGCUUUAGUGGGAAUAAGUGAUAUUAGUGUGGGUUGGUCUCUAAAAAUUCAUGGUUUAACUAAUUUUCUGUUUUUAUUAAUGUAUUUAUGCAGAGUGAGCCUACUGUAAAUUUUUAAUAUGUCUUCUGGCUGCUUUUAUGCUCUAGACUACGUUUCAGUACACUUAUGCCAUUUGGUAGUCUAUAACUAAUAAGAUUUAAGUAAUGAGCUUGGUGGUUCUAAAUAGUAUAUGUUUAAUCCAAUAUAUGUGAGGAAGUGGCUUAUCAAGAAGUUUGUAUUUUUCUGCACUAAAAUAAUACUUCGUAGAUUUCAUGAAGAGCAUAGAAUUAAUAAUGUCAGACUUGAGAAGCAUGUUUGUAAUAUGACUAUGGGCUAAGAUGAUUUUAAUUUGUUAUUAUUCAAGGUUGAUUAUUUUUUUUUAUAGCUUUAUUUAUCUGAAUAGAAAAAAGAUCUGGCCAAUUUGGUUAUCAAUGCUUGAUGUUUGUAAGAGUAUAAUUGUGUUGACAAAAUUAGAUUAGCUUAUUGGAAAUUAAUAUGAUAUGUUAAUGAUCUGAGUUUAUUGUGAAUUUUGCUUGUUCAUUGACAAAUUUUUGCAAGCUAUAAACAUGUUUACCUGAGGUGUUUUGUCAGUUAGAUAGAAUUGAGAAUAUAGAAUUGUUGUCCUAGGAGUCUGCUAGUCUACUUAAGUAUAUUAGGCAAGUCUUAUCUUGUUGCAAGUUCCUGAGCUUAGAUUUAUCACACAUAAAUUGGAUGCAUCAAUAGAUUAAGUCUUUUCAAAUGAUGUUUAUGCUAGCAUGAUUUAGUCAGGGAGUUCUGAGUGCACUAACUAUUGAGCAAAAUCUCUAAGUCAGCUUCUUGGUUUAUAUUAUUCUUGGAAAAUAUUAGAUUGAAGAGUACAUUGCUUGUUUAUUGGCCAAGUUUGAGUUAUAUGCUGCCAUUUGCACCACUGUUGUUAAGUCUGAAUUUCUGAAGUGCAUGCAGUUAGUGCACGUUCUGGCAGCAUAAUAAUGAUACUUAGCUAGCUCUAGUCCUAAAAUCAGGAGAGCCAUUUUGCUGAAUAUGUUAGAUACCAAUUUGAACAGUUUCUAUCUUUACAUGUUGUGUAAUUUGAGUAGAAAAGUUUUUAACUGCAUACUUAGGACUACCAAUUCGUUACCUCAUGUUAAAUUGCUAUUGAAGUGAGAAUAAUCAAUGCCAAAGAUAUGUGAAUUCUAAAGUCUGAUUCUGCUUAAAAUAGUUUCUGAAUGUCUGACAUGAUAAGUAACUUGCUAUUUCUUUGGCAUUAUUUUAUCAGUCCAACAUCAUGGUUGUAUGCUAUGAAAUUUCCAGGGAUUUCUGGAAGUAAGGUUAUCUGAGUAAUAUAAUCUGGGUGGAAUUAUUUUCGAGUAAAAUGUGAGCAGGAUUUAUUUUGGGAAUUUUCAUAAGAACUAACACUAGUAGAAAAUUUGAAAUAGGCAUCCCCCUUUAGCACCGGUUCUUGAAAACCGGUGCCAAAAGCAAUGGGCGGGAAUGGAAAAUUCAGAGUUGGCACCGGUUCCCACCUAAACCGGUGCCAACUCAUUUAAUUAGCACCGGUUCAAACCAAUGCCAACUUUAAAAAAAAAAAAAAAAAAGAAAUCAAUGGAGUUGGCACCGGUUCGCCUUAAAUCGGUGCCAACUAUAGUAAUUAGCACCGGUUUGAACCGGUGCCAAUUUUUUUUUUUUAAAAAAGCCCGGUUUAUAACGUCUUCUUCUUCGUUCAUUCAAUUCCCACGCUCUCCCUCUUCUCUUUGCUCCACCCCUAAGCUUACUCCAUUGAAGCAGCUGCCGCCGCACGCACCACGUCACCUUCUCUUUAGUACUCCAUAUCCACCUCUCCUCCAUUGAAGCAGCUUGGAGGAGGAAGCAAGAGCAGUAGGGCUGUUGAGAAGUGAGAAAAUGGCAAAUUUAGUUGGGUGUUGUUGUGAGGGUGAUGAUGAGAGAUUGCUAGUUGCUGAGUUCAUGCCCAAUGAAACACUUUCUAAGCAUCUCUUUCACUGGAUGCAGCUGCUGUAGCACAAUUCUGGUCCUGGCUGGAAGCUGAAAUUAGCAAGGGUGUGACAUUGACAGAGGUGGAAGUGGCAGACAAACUUCUUGAGUUUCGUUCCAAGCAUGAUGGUUUUGUGGAUACAAGUUUUGAUACUAUAAGUGGUACUAUUCAAUUGCUCUUUUGACUAUUGAAUUAUAUCCUUUUAAAUAGCUUUUAACCAACUCUGUUGAGUAUAUUUUUAUAUUAAGUCAUUGCGAAGAACCUCAAAAUACAUGAGUGAUAUAUUUUUAAAUCUUGUGAAUUUUGCUGCUAUAUUUUAAGCAUUUUGAUUUUUUUUUUAGGUGAGAAAUAAAGUAAUUUCUGGAAACACAGAAAAAAGGAGUGGUAGUAGACACAGUACUGUUCUAUCAUAACAUGCACAAUCUAAGUUACACAGUGGCAAGAAGGGUAUUUGACCAACUUUCAAACCUGGUUCAGAAACAUGAUUUUGCAGCUUCCUGUUGUACAUGUAUGACUGUUUCUUUUUGUUUAUUUACUGGAAAUGAUAUUUAUAAAGUGCUUCAUGUAAGGGUUGCCCUAGCUUCUUUCUCUUUAUGUUUUGUAGUCUAGAUUGUACUUCAUUACUUUUUGGACCAAUUGUAUUUUUUAUGCUUCCUCUCUUUGGAUUGUGGACUCAGGCUCUUCUCUCCCCCAUCUUUAACCCAAAGUAAAAAAAAACGCUGUUUUGUGUAUAUUUGCAUUUUUUAUGUAUGUAGGCUGCUAGGUUACCAUUUGGAUAAGAUUUUAAAAUUAAUAUUAGUACAAUCUGUUUAAUUGCUGGUGUUGACAUGUUACCUUAUCCAUUUCUACCAUUUAUGCAUCCACUUGGUCUUGAGGAAGUUUGUUUUUGUAAAUUCUCUUGAAUUCUGAUGCUUUGGCUCCCUGAAAAUUUCAUCUAGCAUACUUCACUCUAUGUUUCUUGGAAGUUUAAUAAAGAUUUGUAGGGAGCACAUUAUAUAGAUGGGACAACAGACAUAACAAGGGCGGUUCAUUUUGGUGAACCUACUUCUCGAGAAAAAGAGUGUUUCACUCAUGUUUUACAGGUGCUAAUUACGACUUCCAAAUCCAUUAAUCUUUUAUGAGAAAUUAACACAUAUGUACUUGCUCUAGAUAUUUGUUAUGCUUAUUUGCUGGCCAUUGCCUAGGCCCCUCGCACAAAAAAAAAAAAUGGAUAUAUGUAUUAAAUAUUCAUUUACGAUAAGAUAAAUGCAGGCUCUUGACUAAAGCAGUGUGACAUAUGAAACUCGUUCGCUCUUGCCUGAUUGUAAAGGUCACCAAAUUUUUGGAAUGGAAGAAUAAUAUACUACCAGAUUUUAUGCAUUAUUGAUUCUUUUGCCCCCGUAUCUGGCUUGUCUUGGCAUUGCUCUCUCUGAUUUUAGUAUAAACAUUGUUUACAUUCUUUCUAUAUGCUUAUUUCUUAAUAGACUCUCCUAUCAGGAUCUUUUAAGGAUUAUGCAGCCUUCUCGAACUAGGCGUUCUGAUGUUAUUACAAGCAUGAUUAAAACUCUUUUUGCCCAUUUUAUGAUUAAAAAGAUCUCCUACCUGAAUCUUUUUAAGGACCGUCUAGCCUUCUCUAAUUAGUUCCUUUUGCCUGAAUUAACACUUAUCUGAACUUAUUCCAUUAUAAAAGUGAAUAUACCUUAAAAAAGUGAAUCUUACAUGUUUCUGAUUUUAGAAAUUAUGUGAACAACUUGACCCUGUGGCUCAAAGCUUUGGUUGUUGUGUCGUGUUUAUAUACAAGUAUGAUAUUGGGGAAUUACGAGUACACUUCUAUUAUCAAUGAAACAAGGGGGUAGUUGAAGCAGGGAGGGGGGAGGUGCAGCAGGGGGCCAGGACAGGUGGAGCAGGGAUGUAUUAAUCAUCGGAUAAAGGGCCCUGAAUCUAUUGCUGAUCAUAUGUAUCGAAUGGCGUUGAUGGGUUUGAUUGCUGGGGACAUUCCGGGUGUGAACAGGGAGACGUUGGAUGUUAACCAAUUAUGCUUGUUUUGGACACAUUGAUAUUUCCCUUGCUGAUGAGCUGUAUUAUCUUCUUUUGACAAUGCUUUGCACAGAUGUAUCAAGAUGGCAGUAGUUCAUGAUAUUGCUGAAGGACAUCAGAGCAAUAACGAGCAAGACAGCCCAGCAAACAGGAGCACAUCAGAGCGCCACCAGCACAGCACCACAACAGCUCACCAGUACCGCAACACAGAGGACCACGCAGCAGAACCCAGCAAACACAGCAGCCUGACCAGCAAGCAACACAACACUAUAGCAGAGCAGCAAACACCCUGCACAGCCUAACCAGAGCAGAACAGAAACACAGCAGCUCAAGAACUCAAACCAGUCACCCAGCCAGCCUGAACAUAACAGAGACAGCCACAGAAGCAAACAGAUGCCCGGUCAGCAUGAACAGGCAGAGGCACAGCAGCGCAGCAGAACAGAAACAGCAGAGCAGUCUGGAUUAUUUAAUUUUUUUUGGACGAAAAUUGUAAUAUUACAACCUUUUUUAAUAAAAAUAUGUAACUUUAUGUAUAUGUUAAUGUUUCUAUAUCAAUUUAAGUGGAAAAAAUGCAAAUUUUUUUUUUUUUAUUUUUUUGGGGUAUUUUUGGCAUCGGUUUGGACCAGAACCGGUGCCAAAAGUUUUUUUAAAAAUUU